GAUGAACGCUGGCGGCGUGCCUAAUACAUGCAAGUCGAGCGAACAGACGAGGAGCUUGCUCCUCUGACGUUAGCGGCGGACGGGUGAGUAACACGUGGAUAACCUACCUAUAAGACUGGGAUAACUUCGGGAAACCGGAGCUAAUACCGGAUCAUAUAUUGAACCGCAUGGUUCAAUAGUGAAAGACGGUUUUGCUGUCACUUAUAGAUGGAUCCCGCCGCAUUAGCUAGUUGGUAAGGUAACGGCUUACCAAGGCAACGAUGCGUAGCCGACCUGAGAGGGUGAUCGGCCACACUGGAACUGAGACACGGUCCAGACUCCUACGGGAGGCAGCAGUAGGGAAUCUUCCGCAAUGGGCGAAAGCCUGACGGAGCAACGCCGCGUGAGUGAUGAAGGUCUUCGGAUCGUAAAACUCUGUUAUUAGGGAAGAACAAAUGUGUAAGUAACUAUGCACGUCUUGACGGUACCUAAUCAGAAAGCCACGGCUAACUUCGUG
rnacentral:rRNA from 1 species